rnacentral:rRNA from 1 species
CGGAAUUGCUAGUAAUCGCGGAUCAGCAUGCCGCGGUGAAUACGUUCCCGGGCCUUGUACACACCGCCCGUCACACCAUGAGAGUUGGCAACACCCGAAGUCAGUAGCCUAACCGCAAGGGGGGCGCUGCCGAAGGUGGGGUUGAUGAUUGGGGUGAAGUCGUAACAAGGUACC